GUUGAUGGGUUCAGAGACCUGAAAAUCCAAAAGGCAAUUAUUCAUAUGCAGGAUGUUGAUGGAAAGAAGAGGUUAAUUCACAACCAACUUGUCAGCCCCGGAGUGGUGGCACAGUCUAGGACCCACACCAGGCCAUGGAAUGCUACCUCCUCCAUUUAGGAGGUAAAGCAUGCCGAGCAGACCUUGGGCACUGGCACCCAGUCCCACAACACCGAGAGGGAGCCCGACUUCCAGGUGCUCUGAAACACCCAGAAAAAUAGGAUCACAGAGGAAGUUUGAUUCCCAGGAUAUCAGACACAACCAGGAGCACUGGAGCUCUGAUACAUGCAAGAUCACAGUUGAGGCCAUAGCAUCUUUUUAAUACACAGCAUAACUGGGAUCCCCACAGGAACCAGGGAAACUCAAACCCUGCCCAGCAAUAGGUACAGGUUCUUUCCAGCUUGCACCUGUGCCUGGAGCAAACCCAGUGCUCUGGUUCCCACCCACUCCUGCAACGCCCUGAGAAAGAUGGACUCUCAGGAGCUCUGACACUCCCAGGAUCUCAGCAUCACAGGAUACCAGAAUUGCAGGAUCACAGAGACAGCUGGACUCUGAGAAGUUCUGACACAACUAUGAUCACAGGAGGGACAGUCUCCAUUCAGAGACAGCAAGGACAGGUAGCACUAGAGAUAACCAGAUGGCAAGAGGGCACAAGCACAAGAAUAAAAGCAACAGAAACCAAGGAUACUUGGCAUCAUUAGAACGCAGUUCUCCCACCACAGCAAGUCCUGGAUAAGCAACCCAUCACAGAAGAAAAGCAAGAUUCAGAUUUAAAAUUCACAUCUCAUGAUGAUGAUAGGGGACUUUAGGAAGGACAUAAAUAACUCCCUUAAAGAAAUACAGGAGAACACAGGUAAGCAGGUAAAAGCCCUUAAAGAGGAAACACAAAAAUCCCUUAAAGAAUUAUAGGAAAACACAAUGAAACAGGUGAAGGAAUUGAACAAGAACAUCCAGGGUCAAAAAAUGGAAAAUAGAAACAACAAAGAAAUCACAAAGGGAGAAAACUGUGGAGAUAGAAAACCUAGGAAAGAAAUUAGGAGUCAUAGAUGCAAGCAUCACCAAGAGAAUACAGGAGAUAGAAGAGCGAAUUUCAGGUGCAGAAGAUGCCAUAGAAAAUAUUGACACAACAGUCAAAGAAAAUGUAGUAUGCAAAAAAAGUCCUAACCCAAUACAUCCAGGAAAUCUAGGACAAAAUGAGAACAACAAAAUUAAGGCUAAUAGGUAUAGAAGAGAACAGAGAUUCCCAACUUAAAGGGCCAGUAAAUAUCUUCAAAAAAUUAUAAAAAACAACAAAAAAAAACAAAAACAAACAAACAAAAAACUUCCCUAACCUAAAGAAAGAGAUGCCCAUGAACUUACAAUAAGCCUACAGAACUCCAAAUAGACUGGACCAGAAAAGAAACUCCUUCUAUCAUAUAAUAAUCAAAACACCAAAUGUACAAAACAAAGAAAAUAUUAAAAGCAGUAAGGGGAAAAGGUCAAGUAACAUAUAAAGGCAGACAUAUCAGAAUUACACCUGACUUCUCACCAGAAAUUAUAAAAGCCAGAAGAUCCUGGGGAGAUGUCAUUCAGACCCUAAGAGAACACAAAUGCCAACCCAGGCUACUAUAUCCAGCAAAACUCUCAAUUAACGUAGAUGGAUAAACCAAAAUAUUCCAUGAUAAAAACAAAUAUACAUAAUAUCUUUCCACAAAUCAAGCCAUACAAAGGAUAGUAGAAAGAAAAUUCCAACACAAGGAGGGAAACUACACCCUAGAAAAAGCAAGAAAGUAAUAUUUUUUCAACAAACCCAAAAGAAGAUAGCCAUCCAAAAUAAUUCCACCUCUACCAACAAAAAUAGCAGGAAGCAACUUUUCCUUAAUGUCUCAUAACAUCAAUGGACUCAAUUCUCCAAUAAAAAGACACAGAUUAACUGAAUGGAUACAUAAACAGGACCAAACAUUUUGCUGCAUACAGGAAACACACCUCAGUGAAAAAGACAGACACUACCUCAGAGUAAAAGGCUGGAAAAUUUUUUCCAAGCAAAUGGUCCAAAGAAACAAGCUGGAGUAGCCAUUCUACUAUUGAAUAAAAUUGACUUUCAGCCAAAAGUUAUCAAAAUAGAUAAGGAAGGACACUUCAUACUCAUCAAAGGAAAAGUCUACCAAGACGAACUCUCAAUUCUGAACACCUAUGCUCCAAAUGCAAGGGCACCCACAUUCAUAAAAGAAACUUUACUAAAGCUCAAGGCACACAUUGCACCUCACAUAAUAACAGUGGAAGACUUUAACGCCCCACUCUCAUCAAUGGACAGAUCAUGGAAACAGAAAUUAAACAGAGACACAGUGAAACUAACAGAAGUUAUGAACCAAGUGGAUUUAACAGAUAUCUAUAGAACAUUUCAUCCUAAAACAAAGAAUAUACUUUCUUCUCAGCACCUCAUGGUACCUCCUUCAAAACUGACCAUAUAAUCAGUCACAAAACAGGCUUCAACAGAUACAAGAAUAUUGAAAUAAUCCUGAGCAUUCUAUCAGAUCACCACAGACUAAGGCUGGUCUUCAAUACAGAAAGCCUAAAUACACAUGGAAGCUGAAAAAUGCUCUACUUAAUGAUAACUUGGUCUGGGAAGGCAUAAAGAAAGAAAUUAAAGACAUUUUAGAAUUUAAUGAAAAUGAAGGCACAACAUACAAAAACUUAUGGGACACAAUGAAAGCAGUGCCAAGAGGAAAACUCAUAGCCCUGAGUGCCUCCAAAAAGAAACUGGAAAGAGCAUACACUAGCACCUUGUCAACACACCUGAAAGCUCUAGGACAAAAAGAAGCAAAUACCUCCAAGAGUAGAUGGCAGGAAAUAAUCAAACUCAGGGCUGAAAUCAACCAAGUAGAAACAAAAAGAACUAUACCAAGAAUCAACAAAACCAAGAGCUGGUUCUUUGAGAAAAUCAACAAGAUAGAUAAACCCUUAGCCAGACUAACCAGAGGGCACAGAGACAGUUUCCAAAUUAACAAAUCAGAAAUGAAAAGGAAACAUAACAAUAGAACUGAGGGAAUUCAAAAAACUAUCAGAUCCUACUACAAAAACCUAUGUUCAACAGAACUGGAAAAUCUGGAUCAAAUGGACAAAUUUCUGGACAGAUAUUAAGUACCAAAGUUAAAUCAGGAUCAGAUAAACCAUCUAAAAAGUUCCAUAACUCCUAAAGGAAGAGAAGCAGUCAUUAAAAGUCCCCCAACCAAAAUAAACAAAAGAAAAAAAAAAGAAGCCCACGACUAAAUAGAUUUAGUGCACAAUUCUAUCAGUCCUUCAUAGAAAACCUAAUGCCAAUACUCUCCACACUAUUCCACAAAAUAGAAACAGAAGGAACACCACCCAAUUUGUUUUAUGAAGCCACAAUCACAGUUACACCUAAACCACACAAAUACCAUACAAAGAAAGAGAACUUCAAACCAAUUUUCCUUAUGAAUAUCAAUGCCAAAAUUCUGAAUAAAAUUCUCGAAAACCCAAUCCAAAAACACUUCCCAAUGAUCAUCCAUCAUGAUCAAGUAGGCUUCAUCCCAGAGAUGCAGGGGUGGUUCAAUAGAUAGAAAUCCAUCAACAUAAUCCACUAUAUAAUCAAAUUCAAAGAAAAAACGUGAUUAUCUUAUUAGAUACUGAGAAAUCAUUGGACAAAAUCCAACACCUCUUCAUUGUAAAAGUCAUGGAAAGAUCAGGAAUUCCAGGCCCAUACCUAAACAUAGUAAAAGCCAUAUACAGCAAACCAGUAGCCAACAUUAAACUAAAUGGAGAGAAACUUGAAACAAUCCCACUAAAAGCAGGGACUAGACAAGGCUGCCCACUCUCCCCCUACCUAUUCAAUAUGGUACUAGAAGUCCUAGCCAGACCAAUUAGCCAACCAAAGGUGGUCAAAGGGAUGCAAAUCAGAAAGGAAGACAUCAAAAUAUCACUAUUUGUAGAAGGUAUGUAUACUUAAGUGACUCGAAAUAAUUACAUCAGAGAACUCCUACAGCUGAAAGAAACUUCAACAAAGUGGCUGGGUAUAAUCUUAACUCAAACAAAUCAGUAGCCUUCCUCUUCUCAAAGGAUAAAUAAGUUGAGAAAGAAAGUAGGGAAACAGCACCCUUCACAAUAGUCACAAAUAAUAUAAAAUACCUUGGUAUGACUCUAACCAAGCAAGUGAAAGAUCUAUAUGACAAGAACUUCAAGUCUCUGAAGAAAGAAAUCAAAGAUCUCUGAAGAUGGAAAGAUCUCUUAUGUUCAUGUAUGAGCAGGAUUAAUAGUGUAAAAAUGGCCAUCUUGCUGAAAGCAAUCUACAGAUUCAAUGCAAUUCCCACCAAAAUUCCAACUCAAUUCAUCAUUGAGUUAGAAAGAACAAUUUGCAAAUUCAAUAAUUUGGAAUAACAAAAAACCCAGGAUAGUGAAAACUAUUCUCAACCAUUACAGAACUUCUGGGGGAAUCACCAUCCCUAACCUUAAGCUGCGUUACAGAGCAAUAGUCAUAAAAACUGUAUGGUAUUGGUACAGAGACUGGCAGGUAGAUCAGUGGAACAGAACUGAAGACCCAGAAACGAACCCACACACCUAUAAUCACUUGAUUUUUGACAAAGGAGCUAAAAACAUCCAAUAGAAAAAAAGAUACCAUUUUCAAAAAUUGGUGCUGGUUCAACUGGAGAUCAGCAUGUAGAAGAAUGCAAAUCAAUCCAUUCUUAUCACCCUGUACAAAGUUCAAGUCCAAGUGGAUCAAGGACCUCCACAUCAAACCAGAUAUACUCAAACUAAUAGAAGAAAAAGUGGGGAAGAGUCUCAAACACAUGGGCACUUGGGAAAAUUUCCUGAACAAAACACCAAUGGCUUAUGCUCUAAGAUCAAGAAUCAACAAACGGGAUCUCAUAAAACUACAAAACUUCUGUAAGGCAAAGGACACUGUGGUUAGGACAAAACAGCAACCAACAGAUCUUUACCAAUCCUACAUCCAAUCAAGGGCUAAUAUCCAAGAUUUACAAGAAACUCAAAUAGUUAAACUCCAAAGACCCAAAUAACCCUAUUAAAAAUGAGGUACAGAGCUAAACAAAACAUUCUCAGCUGAGAAAUAUCGAAUGGCCAAAAAGCACCUAAAGAAAUGUUCAACAUCCUUAGUCAUCAGGGAAAUGCAAAUCAAAACAACCCUGGGAUUCCACCUCACACCAGUCAGAAUGGCUAAGAUCAAAAACUCAGGUUACAGCAGAUGCUGGCGAGGAUGUGGAGAAAGAGGAACACUCCUCCAUUGUUGGUGGGAAUGCAGACUGGUACAACCAUUCUGGAAAUCAGUCUGGAGGUUCCUCAGAAAAUUGAACACACCUGAGGACUCAGCUACACCUCCCCUGGGCAUAUACCCAAAGAUGUUCCAGCAUACAACAAAGACACAUGCUCCACUAUGUUCAUAGCAGCCUUAAUUAUGAUAGUCAGAAGUUGGAAAGAAUCCAGAUGUCCUUAACAGAGGAAUGGAUACAGAAAAUGUGGUACAUUUACACAAAGGAGUACUCAGCUAUUAAAAGCAAUGUCUAAAUGAAAUUCUUGGGCAAAUGGAUGGAACUAGAAAAUAUCAUCCUGAGUGAGGUAACCCAAUCACAGAAAAACACACAUGGUAUGCACUCACUGGUAAGUGGAUAUUAGCCCAAAAUUUGGAACACCCAUAAUACAAUUAUAGACCCCAUGAAGCUCAAGAAGGAAGACCAAAGUGUGGAUGCUUCUGUCCUUUUUACAAGAGAGAACAAAAUACUCAUGGGAGGAAACAUGGAGACAAAGUGUGGAGCAGAGACUGACGGAGAGACCUUCCAGAGACUGCCCCAUCUGGGGAUCCAUCCCACAUACAGUCACCAAACCUAGAUGCUAUUGUAAUGCCAACAAGUGCAUGCUGCAGGAGCCUGAUAUAGCUGUCUCCUGAGAGGCUCUGCCAGAGCCUGACAAAUACAGAGGCGGAUGCUUGCACCCAACCAUUGGACAGAGAACGGGGUCCCCAAUGGAGGAGGUAGAGAAAGGGAUGAAGGAGCUGAAGGGGUUUGCAACCCCACAGGAAGAACAACAAUACCAGCCAACCAGACACCCCACAGCUCCCAAGGACUAAACCAGCAACAAGAGUACACAUGGAGCAACCUAUGGCUCCAGCUACACAUGUAGCAGAGGAAGGCCUUUCAGGGCAUCAGUGGGAGGAGAGGCCCUUGGUCCUGUGAAGACCAUAGUGUAAGGG